GCGUCAGUAGUGCAGCGGUUUGAACACACGCCUCCGAAUAUGAUGAAAUGUGGGAUCGGGUCCCACCUGACGCA